CUAUGCGCCUUGCCAGCCCGCUCAGGUGUGCCAGCAGCCGCGGUAAUACGUAGGUGGCAAGCGUUGUCCGGAUUUACUGGGUGUAAAGGGCGUGCAGCCGGAGAGACAAGUCAGAUGUGAAAUCCGGGGGCUCAACCCCGAACUGCAUUUGAAACUGUUUUUCUUGAGUACUGGAGAGGCAGACGGAAUUCCUUGUGUAGCGGUGAAAUGCGUAGAUAUAAGGAGGAACACCAGUGGCGAAGGCGGUCUGCUGGACAGCAACUGACGGUGAGGCGCGAAAGCGUGGGGAGCAAACAGG
rnacentral:rRNA from 1 species